rnacentral:rRNA from 1 species
AGAGUUUGAUCAUGGCUCAGGAUGAACGCUGGCGGUAUGCCUAACACAUGCAAGUCGAACGAUGUCUUCGGACAUAGUGGCGGACGGGUGAGUAACGCGUGAGAAUCUGCCUCUAGGAUGGGGAUAACGGUUGGAAACGACCGCUAACACCCAAUAUGCCGUAAGGUGAAAAAUUUAUUGCCUGGAGAGGAGCUCGCGUCUGAUUAGCUAGUUGGUGGGGUAAGAGCUCACCAAGGCUUCGAUCAGUAGCUGGUCUGAGAGGAUGAGCAGCCACACUGGGACUGAGACACGGCCCAGACUCCUACGGGAGGCAGCAGUGGGGAAUUUUCCGCAAUGGGCGAAAGCCUGACGGAGCAAUACCGCGUGAGGGAGGAAUGCCUUUGGGUUGUAAACCUCUUUUCUCAGGGAAGAAGAUCUGACGGUACCUGAGGAAUAAGUAUCGGCUAACUCCGUGCCAGCAGCCGCGGUAAUACGGAGGAUGCAAGCGUUAUCCGGAAUCAUUGGGCGUAAAGCGUCCGCAGGUGGUUUCCAAAGUCUGCUGUUAAAGACUGGAGCUCAACUCCGGAACGGCGGUGGAAACUUGGAAACUAGAGUUCGGUAGGGGUAGCAGGAAUUCCCAGUGUAGCGGUGAAAUGCGUAGAUAUUGGGAAGAACAUCGGUGGCGAAGGCGUGCUACUGGACCGUAACUGACACUCAGGGACGAAAGCUAGGGGAGCGAAAGGGAUUAGAUACCCCUGUAGUCCUAGCUGUAAACGAUGGAAACUAGGUGUGGCUUG